rnacentral:rRNA from 1 species
GUGCCAGCAGCCGCGGUAAUACGGAGGGUGCAAGCGUUGUCCGGAUUUAUUGGGUUUAAAGGGUGCGUAGGCGGCUUUUUAAGUCAGUGGUGAAAGACAACAGCUCAACUGUUGCAGUGCCAUUGAUACUGAAGAGCUUGAGUACAGAUGAGGUAGGCGGAAUUUAUGGUGUAGCGGUGAAAUGCAUAGAUACCAUAAAGAACACCUAUUGCGAAGGCAGCUUACUAAGCUGUAACUGACGCUGAGGCACGAAAGUGUGGGGAUCAAACAGGAUUAGAUACCCUGGUAGUCC